GUAACAAGGUCUCCGUUGGUGAACCAGCGGAGGGAUCAUUAGCGAGUUAAAACAAAACUCCAAACCCAUGUGAACAUACCUAUCGUUGCCUCGGCAGGUUGUGCUGUCCGGUGACUGCUACCCUGUAGGAGGAGCUACCCUGUAGCUACCCUGUAGUUGGUAGGAGCUACCCUGCAGCACGCCAAAGGCCUGCCGAAGGACCCCCAAACUCUGAAUCUACUGUAUCUCUGAGUAUAACACAAAAAUAAGUUAAAACUUUCAACAACGGAUCUCUUGGUUCUGGCAUCGAUGAAGAACGCAGCGAAAUGCGAUAAGUAAUGUGAAUUGCAGAAUUCAGUGAAUCAUCGAAUCUUUGAACGCACAUUGCGCCCAAUAGUAUUCUGUUGGGCAUGCCUGUUCGAGCGUCAUUUCGACCAUUAAGCACCAUUUGCUUAGCGUUGGGAAUUUACGUUACUGUAAUUCCUCAAAUCCAGUGGCGGAGCUGGGUCAUGCUCUAAGCGUAGUAAUUAUUUUCUCGCUUCUGAAGCUGGCCUGUAUCCUGCCGUAAAACCCCCAAAU
rnacentral:rRNA from 1 species